rnacentral:tRNA from 1 species
GGUUCAUUAGUUCAGUUGGUUAGAAUGCUUGCCUGUCACGCAAGAGGUCAGGGGUUCAAAUCCCCUAUGAGCCGCCA